UCGGCUUAGAGUUUGAUCCUGGCUCAGGAUGAACGCUAGCGACAGGCCUAACACAUGCAAGUCGAGGGGCAGAUGUAGCAAUACAUUGCGACCGGCGCACGGGUGAGUAACACGUAUGCAAUCUACCUUCUACAGAGAGAUAGCCCGUUGAAAGACGGAUUAAUACCUCAUAAUACAGGCUCGCAUGAGUAUUUGUUAAAGGAGCAAUCCGGUAGGAGAUGAGCAUGCGCUCCAUUAGCUUGUUGGUGAGGUAACGGCUCACCAAGGCAACGAUGGAUAGGGGAACUGAGAGGUUUAUCCCCCACACUGGUACUGAGACACGGACCAGACUCCUACGGGAGGCAGCAGUGAGGAAUAUUGGUCAAUGGACGCAAGUCUGAACCAGCCAAGUCGCGUGAAGGAUGACUGCCCUCGGGUUGUAAACUUCUUUUGUACUAGAGUAAAGUGUACUACGUGUAGUAUUUUGCAAGUAUAGUACGAAUAAGCAUCGGCUAACUCCGUGCCAGCAGCCGCGGUAAUACGGAGGAUGCGAGCGUUAUCCGGAUUUAUUGGGUUUAAAGGGUGCGUAGGCGGGAGCUUAAGUCAGCGGUGAAAGUUUGAGGCUCAACCUUAAAAUUGCCGUUGAAACUGGGUUUCUUGAGUGUAAAUGAAGUAGGCGGAAUUCGUAGUGUAGCGGUGAAAUGCAUAGAUAUUACGAGGAACUCCAAUUGCGCAGGCAGCUUACUAAGCUACAACUGACGCC
rnacentral:rRNA from 1 species